ACGGGUGAGUAAUAUAUCGGAACGUGCCCAGUUGUGGGGGAUAACUGCUCGAAAGAGCAGCUAAUACCGCAUACGACCUGAGGGUGAAAGCGGGGGAUCGCAAGACCUCGCGCAAUUGGAGCGGCCGAUAUCAGAUUAGGUAGUUGGUGGGGUAAAGGCCUACCAAGCCUACGAUCUGUAGCUGGUCUGAGAGGACGACCAGCCACACUGGGACUGAGACACGGCCCAGACUCCUACGGGAGGCAGCAGUGGGGAAUUUUGGACAAUGGGGGCAACCCUGAUCCAGCCAUGCCGCGUGCGGGAAGAAGGCCUUCGGGUUGUAAACCGCUUUUGUCAGGGAAGAAAAGACUCCUACUAAUACUGGGGGUUCAUGACGGUACCUGAAGAAUAAGCACCGGCUAACUACGUGCCAGCAGCCGCGGUAAUACGUAGGGUGCAAGCGUUAAUCGGAAUUACUGGGCGUAAAGCGUGCGCAGGCGGUUAUGCAAGACAGAUGUGAAAUCCCCGGGCUCAACCUGGGAACUGCAUUUGUGACUGCAUGGCUAGAGUACGGUAGAGGGGGAUGGAAUUCCGCGUGUAGCAGUG
rnacentral:rRNA from 3 species